UACGUAGGCAGCGAGCGUUGUUCGGAAUUACUGGGCGUAAAGAGUGUGUAGGCGGUGCUCCCAGUCUGUUGUGAAAUCUCCCGGCUUAACUGGGAGGGUGCAGCGGAAACUAGAGUGCUAGAGGGUGGGAGAGGUAAGCGGAAUUCCUGGUGUAGCGGUGAAAUGCGUAGAUAUCAGGAGGAACACCUGUGGUGUAGACAGCUUACUGGACCACUUCUGACGCUGAGACACGAAAGCGUGGGGAGCAAACAGG
rnacentral:rRNA from 1 species